GGCAGUUUGGUGGAGUGGUCUAACACGCUAGACUGUGAGUACCUGCGAGCAAAUUUGGUUCUGACAUUCAAACUAACUUCCCAUCAGUGAAUUUCCAUUCGAGGUAUCUAGUCCUUUCGAGGGCGCAGGUUCGAACCCUGCAACUGUCG
rnacentral:tRNA from 2 species